rnacentral:rRNA from 1 species
AUUGAACGCUGGCGGCAUGCCUUACACAUGCAAGUCGAACGGCAGCGGGGGAGAAGCUUGCUUUUCCUGCCGGCGAGUGACGAACGGGUGAGUAAUACAUCGGAACGUGCCCUGUAGUGGGGGAUAACUAGUCGAAAGAUUAGCUAAUACCGCAUACGACCUGAGGGUGAAAGUGGGGGACCGCAAGGCCUCAUGCUAUAGGAGCGGCCGAUGUCUGAUUAGCUAGUUGGUGGGGUAAAGGCCUACCAAGGCGACGAUCAGUAGCUGGUCUGAGAGGACGAUCAGCCACACGGGGACUGAGACACGGCCCAGACUCCUAUGGGAGGCAGCAGUGGGGAAUUUUGGACAAUGGGCGAAAGCCUGAUCCAGCAAUGCCGCGUGUGUGAAGAAGGCCUUCGGGUUGUAAAGCACUUUUGUCCGGAAAGAAAUGGCUCUGGUUAAUACCUGGGGUCGAUGACGGUACCGGAAGAAUAAGGACCGGCUAACUACGUGGCAGCAGCCGCCGUAA